UACGAAGGGGGCUAGCGUUGCUCGGAAUUACUGGGCGUAAAGCGCACGUAGGCGGAUCUUUAAGUCAGGGGUGAAAUCCUGGAGCUCAACUCCAGAACUGCCUUUGAUACUGAGGAUCUUGAGUUCGGGAGAGGUGAGUGGAACUGCGAGUGUAGAGGUGAAAUUCGUAGAUAUUCGCAAGAACACCAGUGGCGAAGGCGGCUCACUGGCCCGGUACUGACGCUGAGGCGCGAAAGCGUGGGGAGCAAACAGG
rnacentral:rRNA from 1 species